rnacentral:lncRNA from 1 species
CAACUUUAGAUGCUGGAUAUGGGGCUGCAGAGAUCAUGAGCAACACAACACAAGGCAUUAAUCGAUGCAUCCUUUUUUAAAUGAAAGAGCAUGUGGCGUUUAUGGUUUUGGCUUUGCUUUUGUAGCAUUAGUAGUGUGCUUUUUCUAAUAAAGGAUAUUUUUACGAACAUGUCUUUAUAUCGUUGAUAUAUUUUACGAUCUAACGAUUUAUAAUUAUAUCUUUUAUGUGAAAAUAUUUUUAUAGAAGCAUAUUAAAAGCUACACUAUCUGAACUCUAUAUAUGUAUGAAGAAAAUAAAAAUGUGUCGUUUUAAAUUGAAAUAAUAUACUAAGAGAGAUAUUUGUUACAUGGAGUUUUGAACACUAAAUUUAUAAUA